AGUGCAUCAGGCGGAUGCCUUGGCGAUGAUAGGCGAUGAAGGACGUGUAAGCCUGCGAAAAGCGCGGGGGAGCUGGCAAUAAAGCAAUGAUCCCGCGAUGUCCGAAUGGGGAAACCCACUGCAUUCUGUGCAGUAUCCUAAGUUGAAUACAUAGACUUAGAGAAGCGAACCCGGAGAACUGAACCAUCUAAGUACCCGGAGGAAAAGAAAUCAACCGAGAUUCCGCAAGUAGUGGCGAGCGAACGCGGAGGAGCCUGUACGCAAUAACUGUCGAGAUAGAAGAACAAGCUGGGAAGCUUGACCAUAGUGGGUGAUAGUCCCGUAUUCGAAAUCUCAAUAGUGGUACUAAGCGUACGAAAAGUAGGGCGGGACACGUGAAAUCCUGUCUGAAUAUGGGGGGACCAUCCUCCAAGGCUAAAUACUCAUCAUCGACCGAUAGUGAACCAGUACCGUGAGGGAAAGGCGAAAAGAACCCCGGGAGGGGAGUGAAACAGAACCUGAAACCUGAUGCAUACAAACAGUGGGAGCACCCUAGAGGUGUGACUGCGUACCUUUUGUAUAAUGGGUCAACGACUUACAUUCAGUAGCGAGCUUAACCGAAUAGGGGAGGCGUAGGGAAACCGAGUCUUAAUAGGGCGAUGAGUUGCUGGGUGUAGACCCGAAACCGAGUGAUCUAUCCAUGGCCAGGUUGAAGGUGCCGUAACAGGUACUGGAGGACCGAACCCACGCAUGUUGCAAAAUGCGGGGAUGAGCUGUGGAUAGGGGUGAAAGGCUAAACAAACUCGGAGAUAGCUGGUUCUCCCCGAAAACUAUUUAGGUAGUGCCUCGAGCAAGACACUGAUGGGGGUAAAGCACUGUUAUGGCUAGGGGGUUAUUGCAACUUACCAACCCAUGGCAAACUCAGAAUACCAUCAAGUGGUUCCUCGGGAGACAGACAGCGGGUGCUAACGUCCGUUGUCAAGAGGGAAACAACCCAGACCGCCAGCUAAGGUCCCCAAUGAUAGAUUAAGUGGUAAACGAAGUGGGAAGGCCCAGACAGCCAGGAUGUUGGCUUAGAAGCAGCCAUCAUUUAAAGAAAGCGUAAUAGCUCACUGGUCGAGUCGUCCUGCGCGGAAGAUGUAACGGGGCUCAAAUCUAUAACCGAAGCUGCGGAUGCCAGUUUACUGGCAUGGUAGGGGAGCGUUCUGUAGGCCGAUGAAGGUGCAUUGUAAAGUGUGCUGGAGGUAUCAGAAGUGCGAAUGUUGACAUGAGUAGCGAUAAAGCGGGUGAAAAGCCCGCUCGCCGAAAGCCCAAGGUUUCCUACGCAACGUUCAUCGGCGUAGGGUGAGUCGGCCCCUAAGGCGAGGCAGAAAUGCGUAGUCGAUGGGAAACAGGUUAAUAUUCCUGUACUUGAUUCAAAUGCGAUGUGGGGACGGAGAAGGUUAGGUUGGCAAGCUGUUGGAAUAGCUUGUUUAAGCCGGUAGGUGGAAGACUUAGGCAAAUCCGGGUCUUCUUAACACCGAGAAGUGANGAACCGUACCGCAAACCGACACAGGUGGGCAGGAUGAGAAUUCUAAGGCGCUUGAGAGAACUCAGGAGAAGGAACUCGGCAAAUUGAUACCGUAACUUCGGGAGAAGGUAUGCCCUCUAAGGUUAAGGACUUGCUCCGUAAGCCCCGGAGGGUCGCAGAGAAUAGGUGGCUGCGACUGUUUAUUAAAAACACAGCACUCUGCUAACACGAAAGUGGACGUAUAGGGUGUGACGCCUGCCCGGUGCUGGAAGGUUAAUUGAAGAUGUGAGAGCAUCGGAUCGAAGCCCCAGUAAACGGCGGCCGUAACUAUAACGGUCCUAAGGUAGCGAAAUUCCUUGUCGGGUAAGUUCCGACCCGCACGAAUGGCGUAACGAUGGCCACACUGUCUCCUCCUGAGACUCAGCGAAGUUGAAGUGGUUGUGAAGAUGCAAUCUACCCGCUGCUAGACGGAAAGACCCCGUGAACCUUUACUGUAGCUUUGCAUUGGACUUUGAAGUCACUUGUGUAGGAUAGGUGGGAGGCUUUGAAGCAGAGACGCCAGUCUCUGUGGAGCCGUCCUUGAAAUACCACCCUGGUGUCUUUGAGGUUCUAACCUAGACCCGUCAUCCGGGUCGGGGACCGUGCAUGGUAGGCAGUUUGACUGGGGCGGUCUCCUCCCAAAGCGUAACGGAGGAGUUCGAAGGUUACCUAGGUCCGGUCGGAAAUCGGACUGAUAGUGCAAUGGCAAAAGGUAGCUUAACUGCGAGACCGACAAGUCGAGCAGGUGCGAAAGCAGGACAUAGUGAUCCGGUGGUUCUGUAUGGAAGGGCCAUCGCUCAACGGAUAAAAGGUACUCCGGGGAUAACAGGCUGAUUCCGCCCAAGAGUUCAUAUCGACGGCGGAGUUUGGCACCUCGAUGUCGGCUCAUCACAUCCUGGGGCUGUAGUCGGUCCCAAGGGUAUGGCUGUUCGCCAUUUAAAGUGGUACGUGAGCUGGGUUUAAAACGUCGUGAGACAGUUUGGUCCCUAUCUGCAGUGGGCGUUGGAAGUUUGACGGGGGCUGCUCCUAGUACGAGAGGACCGGAGUGGACGAACCUCUGGUGUACCGGUUGUAACGCCAGUUGCAUAGCCGGGUAGCUAAGUUCGGAAGAGAUAAGCGCUGAAAGCAUCUAAGCGCGAAACUCGCCUGAAGAUGAGACUUCCCUUGCGGUUUAACCGCACUAAAGAGUCGUUCGAGACCAGGACGUUGAUAGGUGGGGUGUGGAAGCGCGGUAACGCGUGAAGCUAACCCAUACUAAUUGCUCGUGAGGCUUGACU
rnacentral:rRNA from 1 species